UAGCUAGCUAGUAACUAGGCCAGCAGAGGAGCCAGGAGUAUUUCCUGUUUCUCUUACCUGCAAUUCCAAGAUGUCCCACUCCCCAAACUGAAAGCCGGACUCCUGGUACCUACCAAUCCUUCCAGCUUCUGGGUGAGCCCCUCCCCAGAAAACAUCUGAGCCUGCUUCAACUUGUGGCUGCAUUCCACCCCUGCCCUCCUGACCCUCCAUAAAUCUACAUGUGCCUUAGUAAGGAAUAAGGGUAGAAAUAUGGCCCCUUAAGUGUGAGUAUCAUCCUCCACAACAGUGGAGACAGCAGCUUAUUCAUCUGAAGACAGAAAACUUGCCUUGGCAGCCUGAGGCCUGGGAGUUAUGUCAGAACUUUCAGAAUGGUUGGCGGUGCCUUUGCCUGUGCUGGUCCAGGUUCUACGUCGACUUGGAGAAGCUUUUUACUGCGUCCACUGAGGGACGCCCAGAUUCCUCAGAGGGAAGUCGGGUGUGCCGGCUGGAGCACAGCAGGGGUCAGAAGGGGCCUGCCUGGCUUCCAC
rnacentral:lncRNA from 1 species